UACGGAGGGUGCAAGCGUUAUCCGGAUUCACUGGGUUUAAAGGGUGCGUAGGUGGGCAGGUAAGUCAGUGGUGAAAUCUCUGGGCUUAACCCGGAAACUGCCGUUGAUACUAUCUGCCUUGAAUAUAGUGGAGGUGAGCGGAAUAUGUCAUGUAGCGGUGAAAUGCUUAGAUAUGACAUAGAACAUCGAUUGCGAAGGCAGCUCGCUACACUAUGAUUGACACUGAGGCACGAAAGCGUGGGGAUCAAACAGG
rnacentral:rRNA from 1 species